rnacentral:rRNA from 1 species
AUUGAACGCUGGCGGAAUGCUUUACACAUGCAAGUCGAACGGCAGCACGGGGGCAACCCUGGUGGCGAGUGGCGAACGGGUGAGUAAUACAUCGGAACGUGCCCAGUCGUGGGGGAUAACGUAGCGAAAGUUACGCUAAUACCGCAUACGAUCUACGGAUGAAAGCGGGGGACCGUAAGGCCCCGCGCGAUUGGAGCGGCCGAUGCCAGAUUAGGUAGUUGGUGAGGUAAAGGCUCACCAAGCCGACGAUCUGUAGCUGGUCUGAGAGGACGACCAGCCACACUGGGACUGAGACACGACCCAGACUCCUACGGGAGGCAGCAGUGGGGAAGUUUGGACAAUGGGCGCAAGCCUGAUCCAGCCAUUCCGCGGGCAGGACGAAGGCCUUCGGGUUGUAAACUGCUUUUGUACGGAACGAAAAGGCUCUGGUUAAUACCCGGUGCUCAUGACGGUACCGUAAGAAUAAGCACCGGCUAACUACGUGCCAGCAGCCGCGGUAA